AGUCGAACGCACAGCGAAAGGUGCUUGCACCUUUCAAGUGAGUGGCGAACGGGUGAGUAACACGUGGACAACCUGCCUCAAGGCUGGGGAUAACAUUUGGAAACAGAUGCUAAUACCGAAUAAAACUUAGUGUCGCAUGACACAAAGUUAAAAGGCGCUUUGGCGUCACCUAGAGAUGGAUCCGCGGUGCAUUAGUUAGUUGGUGGGGUAAAGGCCUACCAAGACAAUGAUGCAUAGCCGAGUUGAGAGACUGAUCGGCCACAUUGGGACUGAGACACGGCCCAAACUCCUACGGGAGGCUGCAGUAGGGAAUCUUCCACAAUGGGCGAAAGCCUGAUGGAGCAACGCCGCGUGUGUGAUGAAGGCUUUCGGGUCGUAAAGCACUGUUGUAUGGGAAGAACAGCUAGAAUAGGGAAUGAUUUUAGUUUGACGGUACCAUACCAGAAAGGGACGGCUAAAUACGUGCCAGCAGCCGCGGUAAUACGUAUGUCCCGAGCGUUAUCCGGAUUUAUUGGGCGUAAAGCGAGCGCAGACGGUUGAUUAAGUCUGAUGUGAAAGCCCGGAGCUCAACUCCGGAAUGGCAUUGGAAACUGGUUAACUUGAGUGCAGUAGAGGUAAGUGGAACUCCAUGUGUAGCGGUGGAAUGCGUAGAUAUAUGGAAGAACACCAGUGGCGAAGGCGGCUUACUGGACUGUAACUGACGUUGAGGCU
rnacentral:rRNA from 1 species